AUUGAACGCUGGCGGCAUGCCUUACACAUGCAAGUCGAACGGUAACGCGGGGCAACCUGGCGACGAGUGGCGAACGGGUGAGUAAUGCAUCGGAACGUGCCCAGUAGUGGGGGAUAGCCCGGCGAAAGCCGGAUUAAUACCGCAUACGACCUAUGGGUGAAAGCGGGGGAUCGCAAGACCUCGCGCUAUUGGAGCGGCCGAUGUCAGAUUAGGUUGUUGGUGGGGUAAAGGCCUACCAAGCCUGCGAUCUGUAGCUGGUCUGAGAGGACGACCAGCCACACUGGGACGGAGACACGGCACAGACUCCUACGGGAGGCAGCAGUGGGGAAUUUUGGACAAUGGGCGCAAGCCUGAUCCAGCCAUGCCGCGUGCGGGAAGAAGGCCUUCGGGUUGUAAACCGCUUUUGUCAGGGAAGAAAUGUUCUGGGCUAAUACCCCGGGAAGAUGACGGUACCUGAAGAAUAAGCACCGGCUAACUACGUGCCAGCAGCCGCCGUAAUAC
rnacentral:rRNA from 1 species